rnacentral:rRNA from 1 species
GACGAACGCUGGCGGCGGGCUUAACACAUGCAAGUCGAACGGAAAGGCCCUGCUUUCGUGGGGUGCUCGAGUGGCGAACGGGUGAGUAACACGUGAGUAACCUGCCCUUGACUUUGGGAUAACUUCAGGAAACUGGGGCUAAUACCGGAUAGGAGCUCCUGCUGCAUGGUGGGGGUUGGAAAGUUUCGGCGGUUGGGGAUGGACUGGCGGCUUAUCAGCUUGUUGGUGGGGUAGUGGCUUACCAAGGCUUUGACGGGUAGCCGGCCUGGGAGGGUGACCAGCCACAUUGGGACUGAGGUACGGCCCAGACUCCUACGGGAGGCAGCAGUGGGGAAUAUUGCACAAUGGGCGGAAGCCUGAUGCAGCAACGCCGCGUGCGGGAUGACGGCCUUCGGGUUGUAAACCGCUUUCGCCUGUGACGAAGCGUGAGUGACGGUAAUGGGUAAAGAAGCACCGGCUAACUACGUG